rnacentral:rRNA from 1 species
CGGACGGGUGAGUAACGCGUGGGUAACCUGCCCUGUACAGGGGGAUAACAGUUAGAAAUGACUGCUAAUACCGCAUAAGACCACAGCACCGCAUGGUGCAGGGGUAAAAACUCCGGUGGUACAGGAUGGACCCGCGUCUGAUUAGCUGGUUGGUGAGGUAACGGCUCACCAAGGCGACGAUCAGUAGCCGGCUUGAGAGAGUGAACGGCCACAUUGGGACUGAGACACGGCCCAA